rnacentral:rRNA from 1 species
UACGAAGGGGGCUAGCGUUGCUCGGAAUCACUGGGCGUAAAGCGCACGUAGGCGGAUCUUUAAGUCAGGGGUGAAAUCCUGGAGCUCAACUCCAGAACUGCCUUUGAUACUGGGGAUCUCGAGUCCGGGAGAGGUGAGUGGAACUGCGAGUGUAGAGGCGAAAUUCGUAGAUAUUCGCAAGAACACCAGUGGCGAAGGCGGCUCACUGGCCCGGUACUGACGCUGAGGCGCGAAAGCGUGGGGAGCAAACAGG